UAAGUUAAGCAUCGUAGAGCCAGGUCAGUACUUAGAUGGGGGACCGCUUGGGAACACCUGGUACUGUAAGC